rnacentral:rRNA from 1 species
UACUCGAGUGGCGAACGGGUGAGUAACACGUGGGUGAUCUGCCCUGCACUUCGGGAUAAGCCUGGGAAACUGGGUCUAAUACCGGAUAGGAGCCAUUUUUAGUGUGAUGGUUGGAAAGUUUUUUCGGUGUAGGAUGAGCUCGCGGCCUAUCAGCUUGUUGGUGGGGUAAUGGCCUACCAAGGCGACGACGGGUAGCCGGCCUGAGAGGGUGUACGGCCACAUUGGGACUGAGACACGGCCCAG